UACGUAGGGUGCGAGCGUUAAUCGGAAUUACUGGGCGUAAAGCGUGCGCAGGCGGUUCGUUAAGUUCGUCGUGAAAGCCCCGGGCUCAACCUGGGAACGGCAAUGGAAACUGGCGGGCUUGAAUGCGGCAGAGGGGGGUGGAAUUCCGCGUGUAGCAGUGAAAUGCGCAGAUAUCAGGAGGAACACCGGUGGCGAAGGCGGUUCUCUGGGAAUAUCCUGACGCUGAGGAGCGAAAGUGUGGGGAGCGAACAGG
rnacentral:rRNA from 1 species